rnacentral:ncRNA from 1 species
GUAAUCUUAUCUACGCUAGAUAUAACAAUUGUUAGGGAGAAAGAAUACUCCGAAAGAUAAGUAAUUGCCAGAUGGUACUGAUAAUACUU